rnacentral:rRNA from 1 species
GACGAACGCUGGCGGCGUGCUUAACACAUGCAAGUCGAGCGAGCGGCGGACGGGUGAGUAACACGUAAGGAACCUACCGAUAAGCGGGGGACAACAUCCGGAAACGGGUGCUAAUACCGCAUACUUAUCGAUGGCCUUGCGGUGCAUUAGCUCGUUGUUGGGGUAACGGCCUACCAAGGAAAUGCUGCAUAGCCGACCUGGGAGGGUAACCGGCCACAUUGGGACUGAGACACGGCCCAGACUCCUACGGGAGGCAGCAGUAGGGAAUCUUCCGCAAUGGGCGCAAGCCUGAUGCAGCCAUGCCGCGUGUAUGAAGAAGGCCUUCGGGUUGUAAAGUACUUUCAGCGAGGAGGCGUUACUCGCAGAGGAAGCACCGGCUAACUCCGUGCCAGCCGCCGCGGUAAUAC